AAUAUUGCACAAUGGGGGAAACCCUGAUGCAGCGACGCCGCGUGAGCGAAGAAGGCCUUCGGGUCGUAAAGCUCUGUCCUAAGGGAAGAAACGGACGGUACCCAAUGAGGAAGCCCCGGCUAACUACGUGCCAGCAGCCGCGGUAAUACGUAGGGGGCGAGCGUUGUCCGGAAUUACUGGGCGUAAAGGGUACGUAGGCGGCUAUAUAAGUCAGGUGUGAAAUACCAGUGCUUAACACUGGAAUUGCAUUUGAAACUGUGUAGCUUGAGUGCAGGAGAGGAAAGUGGAAUUCCUAGUGUAGCGGUGAAAUGCGUAGAGAUUAGGAGGAACACCAGUGGCGAAGGCGACUACCUGGACUGAUACUGACACUGAGGUGCGAAAGCGUGGGGAGCAAAC
rnacentral:rRNA from 1 species